UACAGAGGUGGCAAGCGUUGUUCGGAAUUACUGGGCGUAAAGGGCGCGUAGGCGGCCCGUCAAGUCCCGUGUGAAAGCCCCCGGCUCAACCGGGGAACUGCACGGGAAACUAGCAGGCUUGAGUUCGGGAGAGGGAAGCGGAAUUUCGGGUGUAGCGGUGAAAUGCGCAGAUAUCCGAAGGAACACCGGUGGCGAAGGCAAUCCCCUGGGCCUGUACUGACGCUCAUGCACGAAAGCGUGGGGAGCAAACAGG
rnacentral:rRNA from 1 species